AGCUCAGUGGUGGUCAGCAAAAUUCAAGACAGAGGCCCUCAGCUCCAGAGACCCGCUGUCCUCUGAUGCAUGGCCAUCUCCAGUGGCUCUUCAUGGUGUGGCACUUAGAUUCUUCAAGACCAGCAAAGAUCUCUCCUGUGCAUACUGACAAGGUGGAAUCAUGUUGACGGGAGGAGAUUGAAUGAGGCAUAGCACUCAGCAUGGGCUCAGAGGACCAGUUUAGAACUCUGAUACCUGUGUCUCUGUCUUGUGAGAUGAACCAGCUGAAGGAACUCCUCUAAGAUCUCUCAGGAUCCAAGUGAAUAUAGGUGGGCAAGAGGAAGAGAAAAGAAUCAAGACACCACGGUGUUACUGCUGGCAGCAUUUAUGGACCCCAGCCUGUGAUGUGUCAAAUGCUUGUGACUCCCCUCAGACCCUCUUGACAUUUGUCUGCACACCCAGAGUUCUCUGGUUGAAAGAAAGAAGCUUAAGCUGACUUCUGAAUUCUGAGAUCACACUGCACAGUG
rnacentral:lncRNA from 1 species